CCAGUCGAGUCAGAAAUCAUAAUAGAGGAGUAUUGGCAAUCUACCACUGCAAAAGACAGUUUCUUUGUCGGAUAUUGGUAAACAAGAAAUAUUCAUUGAACUAUCAAUAUAUACGGGUAAGUGCAUAUGGUUUAAUCUAUUUUACGAAACUCUGCAAUACAUGUUUGACGGCAUUGGCAAACAUUUGUGACAAUGGGCAACUGCCAGAUAAGGUCGGCGAAAUUGUCAUUUAUGACACGUAUUGCCUUGAUUGGCCGGCGUUUCUGGCCUUGAAUUAUCGUCUUCACGCGACCUGCAGGUAAAAUUUAACUUCGACGUAUAUAAUUCUUCAUCAAUACAAUAGUUUGGAAAGUCAGCGACAAACAGCAUGAGAAAUAUUUACUUCCAGUUUCGUAUUUUAGAAAUGGCUUGCAUUAUCAAGAGUUUAUUUCACAAUGACCGAUACAACUAAAGUAUCCCCGCAAUUUAUUGGUUUGUUUUGUGUUUAACUUGACUCGUAUUUUCGAGUUCAUGCUGCAUGUAUACAAGAUGCGAACGUGUUCGGCCUUACAGUUUCAGAUUCGCAGUUUCAGAUUAUUCACAUUCGGAUUUUGAAUAUGAUAGCGUGGGCUCGAGUGAGUACGGACGCGAAUUUCUGUGCUCUUCAGCUUUAGCUCAAAAUCUACUAAAAUGUCAAAGGACACUAUAAAAUCUUUAAAGAAAGAAAACGACGAGUUAAGGGUUGAAAUCGAAUCAAUCAAGAACGAUUUCAAGAAGUUUGUACAGGAUGUUAAAUCCAGUGAAACCAAGAGCACUACGAACGCCGCAAUGGCAAGUUCAGCGCUGGAUAAAGAAUCAGUCAAAAGUCUGGAAUAUUUGAGUAAUGAGUAUGAUGAUUUGCACCGUUUUCGAAAUUCGUCUAAACAACAAAUGUCGCGACUGGAAUCUCGCCUAACUGUAUUAGCAGAAAAGGUCGAAAAUCUCUCCAAAUCUGUUAACGAAGCCGAGCAAUACAGCUACGCAUAUAACGUGAAAAUGUUGGGAAUACCGGAAUCCAGCUCGAAUGAAACUGCAGCUGAGACAAGCUAGCUAUGUGUCGACAUUUUCAAUGCCGUAGGAGCAAAUGUGUCUAUUGCAGAUAUUGAUAUUGAUCAUCGCGUAAAGCCACGAAGGAGUAAUGGCAGUCAGCCAAAACCGAUUGUCUGCAAAUUUGUUCGCCGCCUAGCACGGGAACAAGUUAUGGCCGUGAGACAAAACAUAAAGAAAAUAGACCCAACUCGCGCUGGCCUAUCUUGAGAAACAUCAAUGGAAUAUGCUGGGAUUUACGAUAAUUUAACUCGAAAACGUCAACAACUUUUGGUUGCGCUGCGAAAAAAAUUUAAAUCUGACAACAACUUCAGUUAUUGUUGGACAAAAAAUUCUACAAUCUAUCUCCGAAGACUAAAGAAGAAAUGGCAAUCAAAAUCAAUGAUAAUCACGACUUGGAGACCUUAAUGAAUGAACAGGGACGUAGGGACUAAUCCUUUCAAUUCAACAGCUAAGUGGAAUUUUUGUAAUUUACCGUCAUGGCAAACAUGAGUCUAAAGACUAAAAGCAGUGCUAAUAAAGCAUUUUUUCUAGAACUACCUUUUUCAAACCUUUGGCCCGCUCAAUUUAAUAAUUUAUUUAAAAACAGUAGUUUUAGUAAUUCUUUCCUACCGACAAAAAAGACCUUGAUCGCUUGACUAGCAUUCACGAUUUGGACCUUUUUAAUUUGAACAUGCAUGAGAAAAGAUCGAACAAUGUAAAUGAUAAUUACUAUUCGCAAAUGCGUUCCAAAUAUUAUUCGCCUCAUAGCUUUAAUCAACUUAAAGAAACCUCUUAUGUAUCUUAUACUGACUGCAAUAAUAAGUUUUCCUUACUACAUAAUAACAUAAGAAGCCUAAAGAAAAAUUUAGAAAAUUUACAAACACAUCUCCUCGAUGAACUUGCCAAUAAUUUUGAUGUAAUUGGUGUUACAGAAACUAGAAUUAAGCAAGACGCUUUUAUUGAUUUUAAUCCCUCAAUGCGAAAAUGAUAUAAACAAAUCGUUUUCAACAUUUUACAAUAAGUUAAAUACAGUUAUCAAAAACCAUGCUCCCCUUAAGAAAAUUUCUAAGCGUAAAGCAAAGCAGUUAACAAAACCAUGGAUAACUAAAGGUAUCAGGAAAUCAAUUAAAAUUAAGAAUAGGUUAUAUAAUCGCGGUGAUAAGGAUAAAUAUAAAUUCUAUAGAAACAAAAUUUUGACACUCACUCGUCAGAGUAAAAAGGAAUAUUAUCAUAGUUAUUUUGAGUACAAUUUUGCAAACGCUAAAAAGACCUGGGAAGGUAUAAACGAAUUAAUUAAUCGGAAGAAACAGUCAACUAGACCCAUCCCGUAUUUAAAAUGUCCCAUAAGCAACAGAAUGAUAUAUGAUGAAAGUAAGUUUCCAAAUAUAUUCAAUAAAUACUUUUCAUCAGUGGGUCAUAAUUUAGGUAGUAAAAUGCCAAAUUCACAAAUUCCAUUCACAAAUUACCUUCCAAAGAUAAAUAACCGAGGAUCGUUUCAAUUUAAUCCUAUCAUGCCGCACGAGAUCGAAAUAGAAAUUAUGUUAAUUCCAAUGAAAAAGGCACAUGGCCUAUACUCAUGCCCAACUCGUAUUUUAAAAUGCGCUAGACACGUUUUAUCCAAUCCUUUAUCUGAUUUUAUGAAUAAAUCGGUUGAAUGCGGCCAAUACCCAGCUAAAUUAAAACACUCAAAAGUUAUCCCUAUUUACAAAAAGGAUGAUGAAACCGAUCCUUCUAAUUAUAGACCAAUAUCUUUUUUAUCAAUCUUUAAUAAAAUUUUUGAAAAAUUGAUGUAUAAUCGUUUAAAAUCUUUUCUUGAGAAACAAAAUAUCAUAUUUAAAUCUCAGUAUGGUUUUCGGGAAAAAUAUUCAACUCAGCAUGCAAUUUUAGAUAUAGUAAAUCAAAUCCAAUCUAACAUGUCUCGUAAAUUGUUCACUUGUGGUAUUUUUAUUGAUUUGCAAAAGGCAUUUGACACUGUAAACUACUCAAUACUUUUAGAAAAAUUGCACCAUUAUGGAAUAAGAGGCAUCAUAAACGAUUGGUUUUCCUCUUACCUGUUAGGUCGUAUCCAAACUAUUCAAAUGGGUGUAAAUAUAUCUGAAAAAGAAGAAACUCUUUCUGGCGUUCCUCAGGGACCGCUACUAUUUUUAAUUUAUAUAAAUGAUAUUUAUAACUCCUCUGAUAAGCUGACGUUUUCCUUAUUUGCAGAUGACACCAAUUUAUUAUACGCUGACAAGAAUUUAAAAACACUAGAAAAUAUUGUCAAUACUGAACUUCUUAAUAUCUAUAACUGGUUAACAGCUAAUAAAUUAUCCCUAAACAUAAAAAAUCUAAUUUCGGUAUUUUUCAUUCUUACCAAAAACGGCUGGAUUAUGCGGUAGAUUUGAAGAUGUAUGAUGCACAGUCCAAUACUUUCGUCUCACUAGCAACUAAAAAUUACAUUAAAUACCUCGGUGUUCUCAUGGACUCAAAUCUUUCAUGGAAAUUUCAUAUUGGGUACAUCGCCUCUAAUCUUAGCAAACGAAUUGGCAUAAUUGCUAGGCUGCGUCAUUUUGUACCAGUUAGUACACUAAUAAGUAUCUGUAAGUCCCUUAUACUGCCUUACCUAACUUAUGCUAUUGUUGUAUGGGGAUGUGCUGCCAAAUGUUACAUUGAUAAAAUCCUUAAACUCCAAAAACCUGCUCUUCGUUUAAUAUAUUCUGCACACUAUCUGUCUCAUGCCAUUCCUUAUUUUCUGUCAGCUAAUGUUCUGCCAAUAAAUUUGCUUUAUUGCAAAUCAGUAUCAAUACUAAUGCAUGACGUAUCAAGUUCAGUAGUAUCCCCAAAUAUUUCGGCUUUGUUUACCCCAUUAAGACACGAACACAACACCAGAUCUUCCACUAGGAAGAUCUUCCACGUUGAAUAUUCAGGUUUAGAUGUGCAAAGCAAAUCAUUCUCAAGAAUGGGAGGAAGAAUUUGGAAUAGCAUUCCUACAGAAUUACGUGAAAAAUCAAAGAAUCACUUUAAAAAAGUUUUACAUUGAAAGUUACUUCAAAUAUUAGAAACGAAAGACGAUUAUAUUGAUAUUCUAACAAUACAAAAAGAAAUCGCAAUAAUCUAAAAGUUAAAUUAUUUUAUGAUCUUGAAUUAAAGUCUGAUCAUUCGUUAGACAUUAUGUUUGUAUAUAUGGUGAAUGUAUUUCUAUCAUAUAUAUGCCUUUUGGUGAUGAAUAGUGCUUGUAUUUACUAAUGAAUUUUGAAAUCUUCUUUAAUUCCGAAUGUGUGUAGUUGCUGUCCACCACGAUUAGCUUUUGCUAUUUGUGGACAGCAACAUUUUAUUGAUUUUGUAAAUUGAAUUGAAUUGAAUUGAAAAUAAAUCAGUGUCUGACGUAUAAAAUGUCGAAUUACUCUGUUUCUUUCUACGCAAUAAACUUGUUAACGAAUUUCAUUCUUCUUCAGGACAUUAGGCAUUCAACAAAUGCAUCUUGAAAGCUUUAGAGCAAAAUGUGAAGUCAGGAGAAAUCGCAAAAGAUAGACGAUCAAGACGUGAAUUCAUGCUGCGCCAUAUUUUCCCAAGUGAUCAGCAAUAUCAUAUUUCGCUGUGUAAAGCAAAAUACCCGUUGUAGCUCCCUAAUCUCAAAAUCCAUUCAUUUCUACAUUAUAAUGAAUGUAUAAAACAAACUAGAUCUUGAAAAUGUUUGUCGUUUUGUCUGGAAAAAUCGCAAAAUUUAGCGGACGGGAACAGGCUUUUGUAACCCGAAGCGAAUGAUAGCAACGCCGCAUGAGAGAAAAAUCCUUCAAUGUAUCAUACAUUAUUGUUUUCGAGUGUUUGGAUAUCCCGGUGAGACACGAGCUCGAGUUUUUUAUAUGGCUUUUCAAAUGAAUCGAGACGUAACAGAAUGGUUUCAUUUGCAGAUUUGAAUAGAAUUCUUAACCAAGCAUAACGUAAUUAGGAAUUCUAUUCAAGUAAUUUUGCAUGCGUAAUUAAGAUAUUUGAUGAAAACACCGUAGCGACUUUCAUCAAGUUUCACCGGGUUAUCCAAAUGGCAUCUUGUGAUCAAAUAAGUGAUUAUCAUUGGCUGAAUUGGCACUCCCUACACUGGCACAGACCAUUCAAGAUUAUUUAGAUUUAGGUUUCAAAAUGGUAGUAGCGGAAUCUAUAAAUUCACAGGUAUACUACAUCACUGACCCACAGGUCCCUCACAAAGAAGGAAACGUGCCAUAUGUGAUGACAGUUUUUAUGGAUUAUCCAAGGAAUUUCGAACGAAAAUUACAGAUAACUACGUUUCUCAAAGUUGCGAGUUAAUCCCCGAGCCGACGGCGCGAAGCGCCGUGCGAGGGUACUAAUUCCCCCCGGCUAUUUACACCCGGGGAAACGAAAGCAUUAGCGAAGUCUAAAGUUCAUCAAAUAUCGCGGGCGUGGCUCACUGUGCUUGUUUCGGUGGGUGGUCAUCCUCACUGAUUUCAUAAUAUAGCGGACUGUAAUGAAUAGCCAACACUGAUUGGUUCAAUUUAAAAUUGGCAUUAGAACGGCUGAAUGACGAUUGACGACAGCGAAAUUGAUUUGAUGAUUUCUUGCAAAUAUAUUCCAUUUUUGCAAGAUUUUGUAAAUUGCAAAGGAUUUUUGAUGAAAUAAAGGCAAAAGGACUGCUAAAAGAAGGAAGUAAACCUGCCGACGUUAACGAAGGUAAGUUUGUUUUAAAUAUUGAUGCAUUGUUUGCUUUUAAUAUACUGUAAUCUCGGCUGUAAUUACUUUAAAAGCCGAUCGUUGCGUAUAUAAAAUAUGAAACAAGACAGCGUAUUAUUUCAGUGUUUCUUUAUUGAUUACACUUUUUAUUAUACUAAGCAAAGUUAUUUACAUUGGAGAAUUUUGAAUAAUUUUAUUUCGAACUCAAAGUUUAUUGAUAAAGGCAGUUUAGUUCUGUGUUAAAAGAACACUUUCAAACGUUUUUCGAAGCGUUUGUGGUUGAAUUUUACUUUAAAUUGGAGCUUAUAAUAUUACGUAUAAUAACAUACCUACUGUAAUUACUUUAAAAGCCGAUCGUUGUGUAUAAAUAUGAAACAAGACAGCGUAUUAUUUCGGUGUUUCUUUAUUGAUUACACUUUGUAUUAUACUAAGCAAAGUUAUUCGCAUGGGAGAAUUUGGAAUCAUUUUAUUUCGAACUCAAAGUUUAUCGAUAAAGGCAGUUUUGUUCUAUAGUAAAAAAACAUUUUAAAGCGUUUUGCGACGUGUUUGUGGUUGAAUUUUACCUUAAAUUCAAGCUUAUAUUAUACGUAUAAUAACAUACCUAACAUAUAUAUGUUUAGGAAAUUGAUAACUUUGUAAUUAAAAGUGAUAUUUAUAGGGGAUUUUUCAUUUGUAAAAAUAUUCUUAAAAAAUUAUCGUGUUACCAUUACCAUGACAACUACUUAAAAUACUUCACGUUCGGAAAAUAAAAUGGUUUUGUCUGCAAGGCGAGGGUUUCUGCAUGCAUGUAUUUUCUAGUUCUAUAAUUAUUAUUCUUUAUACUGGUGAUCAACAUCUGUAUUAUGUAUUAACAACCAACUUCCUAUUUUCACAGGAGUAAAUUAAGUCCAUAUCACCUUGAAUACUUGAACCAUUUCAUCAUGGCGGAUAAGAAAAGACUAGAGCAAAAUAAUUGGGAUUCUCAACCACAAGAAUCGACCAGUGGAGGUAUCAAUUAUUCUUCGAAACAGAAUGACAAGGGUAGUGAAACAAGUUUCAAAAUAACCACAGAGGCAGUGACAGUAGCAGUGGGAGCUGCUGUAGUACUAGUAGGAGCCGUUUGUCUUGUAGCUCUUGCCAAUAAAAAAGAAUAAUUGGACUAUACUUAUCAUCACUACUUAUGCAGAAUACCUGUUUGCUAUACAACUGUUUGUAAAACUCAUUAAAAUUCAUCAAGGAACGACAAAAAAUCUGUGUUUAAUGAGUUGAUUUCGUAUCCGUAUCUAUAGAAUUCUCCUGAUUUAUAUAUCACCAUGUUUUCUCCCCAUCAUUUCUUGCC
rnacentral:lncRNA from 1 species